UAUCUUUCGCCGCAUUUAUUAUUAGAUUUAUCUAUAUUUCAGCCAUUACUGUAACCAAUUGGAGAAACUAGAUAUGAGUGUGAUCAACUUCGAACAAAUACAUACUCAGAACUUCAAUAUCUAGUUUGUCAAAAUGCGAACUUGGAAUGGAAUUAAAUCUACCAAUAAACACAGAUUCCUACAAAACUGUGCUAAAUUUGAACGACAGACCACCAUAAAAGCAAUAGAUAUCCAGCUAUGCCUAUAACUGGACACCGGACUACAGGAAUUUGUACCUUCAGAACUCAAACAAUGAAAAAACAUGGGAACACAGGCACUGGCAGUGCGCUGCAGAAGUAUAUCUUCACAAUUUCAAAGCCUUUUACUAAAGAGGAACACAACACAAAUCACUUGCCGGAGACUAUCAACCUUGCUGCUGCCGGACACUCAAACAUUUCCACUUCUCCGCCGUUCCUGCAAACUUCCAACUACUGCCAGCAACACCUCUGUUUGGAUCUACACCUCAUAAAUAAGUUCAACGGACAUUAAACAUUAAAAUUGUACUGAAACCGCCGUUGUAUAAUAAGUUUAACUCAAAAUAUUUAAAUAUGAUGGCAAAAGACUUACAAAUUGAUGUGGCACUAUUGUAUCAUUACUAUUUAUAAUAAACAAUGCUACAU